UACGAAGGGGGCUAGCGUUGCUCGGAAUCACUGGGCGUAAAGGGUGCGUAGGCGGGUCUUUAAGUCAGGGGUGAAAUCCUGGAGCUCAACUCCGGAACUGCCUUUGAUACUGAAGGUCUUGAGUUCGGGAGAGGUGAGUGGAACUGCGAGUGUAGAGGUGAAAUUCGUAGAUAUUCGCAAGAACACCAGUGGCGAAGGCGGCUCACUGGCCCGAUACUGACGCUGAGGUGCGAAAGCGUGGGGAGCAAACAGG
rnacentral:rRNA from 1 species